CUGGAUGGUAGUGUAUUGGACUACCAUGGCGGUAACGGGUAAUGGAGAAUUAGGGUUUGGUUCCGGAGAGGGAGCCUGAGAAAUGGCUACCAUAUCUAAGGAAGGCAGCAGGCGUGUAAAUUACCCAAUCCUGAUUUAGGGAGGUAGUGACAAGAAAUAACAACCUGGGGGUUUUAUAACCUUACGGGAUUGCAAUGAGAAUAAUUUAAAUAACUUAGUGAGGAAUAAUUGGAGGGCAAGUCUGGUGUCAGCAGCCGUGGUAAUUUUAGCUCCAAUAGCGUAUAUUAAAGUUGUUGCAGUUAAAAAGCUCGUAGUUGAACUUCUGUUCGCUCUCAGACGUGGUUUGCCAGUUUGGGGGUGAACAUCCGUUUGCAAACCCUAUUCGUCCUUUAUUGGCACGGUGGGGGGAGUAGACAUUUUACUUUGAAAAAAUUAGAGUGUUCAAGGCAGGUAAUGGUCUGAAUACAUUAGCAUGGAAUAAUGGAAUAGGACUCAUGUCCAUUUGGUUGGUUAUUGGAUAGGAGUAAUGAUUAAUAGGGACAAUUGGGGGCAUUAGUAUUUAAUUGUCAGAGGUGAAAUUCUUGGAUUUAUUAAAGACUAACUUAUGCGAAAGCAUUUGCCAAGGAUGUUUUCAUUAAUCAAGAACGAAAGUUAGGGGAUCAAAGACGAUCAGAUACCGUC
rnacentral:rRNA from 1 species